GAUGAACGCUAGCGGCAGGCUUAAUACAUGCAAGUCGAGGGGCAGCACGGGGGCAACCCUGGUGGCGACCGGCAAACGGGUGCGGAACACGUACGCAACCUUCCCAUAACUGGUGAAUAGCCUUCCGAAAGGGAGAUUAAUACACCGUAACAUAAUGAAGAGGCAUCUCUUUGUUAUUAUAGCUUCGGCGGUUUUGGAUGGGCGUGCGCCUGAUUAGGUAGUUGGUGUGGGUAACGGCCCACCAAGCCUGCGAUCAGUAACUGGUGUGAGAGCACGACCAGUCAC
rnacentral:rRNA from 1 species